UCCAGUCUUGUCUUCUUCUUCUUCUUUUUUCCUGUUUUUUUCGAGUAAUUAAGGGAUGAAGGAUUUUGAAGUUUGCACAAUAGAGUAUGGCCAUUGAAGUUUCAAUGUUGGUGGUUGUAUUUUGAGCAAACAAGAAAGCAAGUGAAUUAUAGGGGGGCUAUAAUUUACUGUAAACCACUCUUUUCUUUUAGUUGUUCUUUAUAGUUUUUGGUGCUGAGUAUUGACUUUUAGCUGCUUCUACUACUUGGAAGGCAGUAGACAAUGAAUGUUAAAUAAGAUCAAAAGAAAGUGAUGGCACAACGUGUACGAAGCACUUUCUUCAUCAUUUUGAUUAGUCACGCUAGGAUUUGUUUCUUCUUAUGUGUUUUUGAUUGCUAAGCUCUUGCAAAACUGUAAUCCUUGCUAGGAUAGUGGGCGCGUGUCUUAAUUGCAAACAAGAACAUCACGAAGUGACGAUCAUUUUUAAAUAAUUCUUUGUAAAUGAUGACAAAUGGUUGUUUUUCAGUCAAAUUUGCAAUGGAUUCAUGUUUUGAUCCGAAGACUGCUAUGGUGGCUUUAAUUGUCCUCACCUAAAGACAAGAUGGAGAGAGACGUAUAUUUUUAUUUUUAUUUUUUUGUGGUGGAUGGCAUUGUUUCUUUGACAAAUCAAAUAAACUACUCAUUACAGCAAUUUCUUUACCUUACUUUUGAAACUAAAACCACACUGUCCACUGGUCAUCACAACAAUAGUCGUAAUUAUUGAACAAGACAAUGAUGACUUAAAUGUAGACCACCCAGUAGGUGUACACACAAUCGGUCUUUACUUGACCCUAUCGUGAUGUUCAUGUAACGAAUUAUGAUAUAUCACCGAAAAAAGGAAAAAAGAAAGAAAUUGCUAUGAUAGAUUUCGACUUGGACGGUACCUGUUCAAGCUCUCAUUUAAUCUUUCUCGAGAAAAAAACCUUCACUCUUCGUCUAUUAUCUCCAAUUCUUUCAAACUAGCUCCCAGUGAUCUAUACUGUUGUUGCAGUUUAGAUUCAAAGAUGACCACUCAUUAUUCGUAAUCCCACCUUGAAAGUUGAAUCAGAAAGUAGAAAAGGCAGAAGAGAUGAUUAGCCAUGCCAAAAAGAAUUUCCCACCGAACAAAGCAUCUUCGACCUCAAGAGCCUAAAGCAAUAAAAACCUCUAAAACCAGCAACCAACCCUCUUUUUCUCAGGAAGAUGAGAAGGGAGGAUGGGGCUGCUUCCUCCCUUUGGGUUGGGUCAUGGGUGCUAUCCUUCCUAGCAUGUGUCUCUUGCAAUUGAUUUCCAUCCCUUUCGUCAAUUAUUAGCCACAGCCAAGUUAAUAUCCAUCCUUGUUUUUACCCUUUUCCCUACUUCCUAACAAAUAGAGCCUAAAACAAACUUCACAUCCCGACAUUGCUUCCGUGUUGAACAGAUUAUGGCUUGGCCCAGGGCAAAAAAAUAUAGUAAUGAUAUACGUUGAGGCCUACAUGCUAUCUAUAACAUUUCCGGUAAAAGCAAUGAUGAUUGGCGCCGAAGAAAACUAAUUGAGAUUAAAAUAAGGCAGUAAGUACGCACCCAACACAUGCAACCAAUUAUUAUCUUAUUAACAGUUUUAGGAACAAGUAUGUGAUCAGUACACGCCACCUGAGACCAGUGACUCCAUUACAAUGCAGAAACCAAGAAGUUGGAAAU